UACGUAGGGCGCAAGCGUUGUCCGGAAUCAUUGGGCGUAAAGAGCUCGUAGGCGGCCUGUUGCGUCCGCUGUGAAAUCCCGGGGCUUAACCCUGGGCUUGCAGUGGAUACGGGCAGACUAGAGGUAGGUAGGGGAGAAUGGAAUUCCUGGUGUAGCGGUGAAAUGCGCAGAUAUCAGGAGGAACACCCGUGGCUAAGGCGGCUCUCUAGUACGGUACUGACGCUGAGACGCGAAAGCGUGGGGAGCGAACAGG
rnacentral:rRNA from 1 species